UACGAAGGGGGCUAGCGUUGCUCGGAAUUACUGGGCGUAAAGCGCACGUAGGCGGCUCUUUAAGUCGGGGGUGAAAGCCCAGGGCUCAACCCUGGAAUUGCCUUCGAUACUGAGAGUCUUGAGUUCGGAAGAGGUUGGUGGAACUGCGAGUGUAGAGGUGAAAUUCGUAGAUAUUCGCAAGAACACCAGUGGCGAAGGCGGCCAACUGGUCCGAUACUGACGCUGAGGCGCGAAAGCGUGGGGAGCAAACAGG
rnacentral:rRNA from 1 species